GCAUGGAAAAGCUCAGUUUAGGGUUUAAAACCCUAAUGCUGGCUGAAUGGAAAAAGUUUAGUUUAGGGUUUAAAACUUUAAUGCUGACUAAAAGGAAAAAUUCAGUUUAGGGUUUAAAACCCUAAUGCUGAUUGCAUGGAAAAGUUCAGUUUAGGGUUUAAAACCCUAAUGUUGGCUGAUUGGAAAAAGUUCAGUUUAGGGUUUAAAACCCUAAUGUUGAUUAAAGGAAAAAGUUCAGUUUAGGGUUUAAAACCCUAAUGCUGAUUGAUUGGAAAAGUUCAGUUUAGGGUUUAAAACCCUAAUGUUGACUGCAUGGGAAAGCUCAAUUUAGGGUUUAAAACCCUAAUGCUGACUGAAAAAAGUUCAGUUUAGGGUUUAAAACCCUAAUGCUGACUGGUUGGGGGUAAAGUUCGAGAAUGCUAGCUAACCCUUUUUUUUGGAUUUUCUUGUUUUAGUAGAAGAUAAAAGGGAGUCUCGUGGAAACUUACCUUUUGAGUGAGUUCCUUAUUGCCAAGAUAUUUCUUGUACCCAUGUACCUUCUUCUUUGGGCGACACCUGCUUCUUGCACGGUUGUCUUGGAUUAUACCUGUUUCAACUUUUCAGACAAAGAACAAUUGUUAGUUUGGAAAUGACGGUCGGUUCGGUGACCUUGAUCGUUCCCAGUUGCUUUGUUGCAUACUCAUUCCUGUUGCGAAAUCCUGCCAUUGAUUUGAUUCAAAUGGCGAAACCCUUUAGACUGCUCAGGCUUGUAUUUCCCGAUUCUGUGAUGAUUUGCCUCGUAA
rnacentral:lncRNA from 1 species